rnacentral:rRNA from 1 species
UACGUAGGGGGCUAGCGUUGUCCGGAAUUAUUGGGCGUAAAGAGCUCGUAGGCGGUGUGUCGCGUCGGCCGUGAAAACCUGCAGCUUAACUGUGGGCUUGCGGUCGAUACGGGCAUCACUGGAGUUCGGCAGGGGAGACUGGAAUUCCUGGUGUAGCGGUGAAAUGCGCAGAUAUCAGGAGGAACACCGGUGGCGAAGGCGGGUCUCUGGGCCGAUACUGACGCUGAGGAGCGAAAGCGUGGGGAGCGAACAGG